UGUAGUUGUGAUGCCAUGUUCAGGUGUAACGAGCUUAGGAGGGAUUGCAUGGACAAUCGGAGCAGCAUUCCUUCUCUUCCGAGCCAUUUCCGGCGACAAUUUCGCCUUGCUAAUGUGCGCCGGCGAUAGCACUGUUCUAUUGAAGCGCUAACGUGCGCCGAGAGCAAAAAGACAGAUUUCAAUAGGGAACAGUUAGCCCUCUUCCAAACAUUCGGGUUAUCUCCUGUUGGUUGUUCUUAGGUGGUAUGAUCUAUAUGCAUAUGUUAGAAGGUCUCAUGUGUAAUUGAAGGGUAGGUGCUGAGAUUGAGAAUCUAGGGUCACAUAAGAGUGUGGACUCAACUGAUGUGGGAACGAAUAGG
rnacentral:lncRNA from 1 species